ensembl:snRNA U6 U6 spliceosomal RNA
GUGCUCACUUUGGCAGCACAUAUAAUAAAAUUAGAAAGAUACAGAAAACAUUAGAAUGACCCCUGUACAAGAAUGGCACAAAAAUUGCUGAAGUAUUCUAUAUUUAA